rnacentral:misc_RNA from 1 species
GAAAUGCGAUAAUUAAUGUGAAUUGCAGAAUUCAGUGAAUCAUCGAGUCUUUGAACGCACAUUGCGCCCCCUGGUAUUCCGGGGGGCAUGCCUGUCCGAGCGUCAUUGCUGCCCUCAAGCACGGCUUGUGUGUUGGGCUUCCGUCCCUGGCAACGGGGACGGGCCCAAAAGGCAGUGGCGGCACCAUGUCUGGUCCUCGAGCGUAUGGGGCUUUGUCACCCGCUCCCGUAGGUCCAGCUGGCAGCUAGCCUCGCAACCAAUCUUUUUAACCAGGUUGACCUCGGAUCCGGUAGGGAUACCCGCUGAACUUAAGC